AUCAGCCAUGGCGCGGUGAAUAARKWSCCRGGCCUUGUACACACCGCCCGUCAAGCCAUGAAAGCUGGGGGUGCCUGAAGUCCGUAACCGUUAAGGAGCGGCCUAGGGCAAAACUGGUGAUUGGGGCUAAGUCGUAACAAGGUAGCCGUACCGGAAGGUGCGGCUGGAACACCUCCUUUCUGGAG
rnacentral:rRNA from 1 species